UACGUAGGGGGCGAGCGUUGUCCGAAGUUACUGGGCGUAAAGCGCGCGUAGGCGGGCUGUUAAGUGGGAAGUGAAAGGCUGGGGCUCAACCCCAUGCACGGCUUCUCAUACUGGCGGUCUUGAGGGCGGCAGGGAGAAGUGGAAUGGCUGGUGUAGCGGUGAAAUGCGUAGAGAUCAGUCGGAACACCGGUGGCGAAGGCGGCUUCUUGGGCCGUUUGCCUGACGCUGAGGCGCGAAAGCCAGGG
rnacentral:rRNA from 1 species